ensembl:lncRNA
GUCACUGGAAAUGUGCAAAGAACACAAUUAACGGGUCUCUUGGCCAUUUUGGAUCUUGAAGGUAACAGGUCGUGCAAUCCGAAACAGCAGAUGAGCUCACAGUCGCUGCUGUUGGUCUGGUAGGCACUUCAGUAGCCCUCUUCUGCAGAGAGAGGCCUGGGAAGAUGCAGCUAGGAGCACAUCCAGCCCGAGCUUUGAGAGGUGUCCCAGAUAACCCGUCAAGUCGGCAACCCCAGGCUUCCUGAGAAUUGGGAUGGCUGGACCGCUGAGCCAGGAGGACCAGCCUGUUCCAGGCUUCCUGGCCCCACAGUGUGUUUCUGGAGCCUGGGGCCCUUAGAGGCCAUGGCAAGUGGCCCACCGUGAGAGGGGGGUGUCUGGAACCUCAGCUCCUCAUUCUUGGGAUGCAGGGAGGCAUCACCCUUUCAGUGUCUACACACCUUAGGAGCCGGUUUUCCAAGCUGGGGUAUGUCUGGGGAGGUAUGAGCAGUCAGAGAUGGCACCUGACUCUGGGGUUUCUGGCUUCCCUUGGUGCAGGAAUUCAUGUUCAAGUUCACACGGAGAGAGCCCUGGAUUGGCCUGCGCAGAGUUGGGGACGAAUUCCACUGGGUCAACGGGGACCCAUUUGAUCCAGACACGUUCUCCAUCUCAGGCCCCGGGGAGUGCGUCUUCGUGGAGCCCACCAGGCUGGCGUCGACGGAGUGCCUGAUGACCCGGCCCUGGGUGUGCAGCAAGACGGCCUACACGUGAGGUGGGUCCGGGCCCGGGCCGCCCUGCAGCCGGCUCCUCUCCAAGGCGCAGCAGUGAGGACGGGCCCUCGGCCUCUGGGCUCCUCGGCCCCGGGCAGGUCCCGCGGCUCAGUGGGCGCAUCCCACACGCUCAGCAGCACCGCGGGCACCUGUUCCCCUGGAUGCGCUGACACGUUCACGGGCAUGGUCCUCGCUCAUGUUCAGCGUCCCCCUUAGGCACCCCAACGCGUCCCUCCUUGGCCCCACGCUGGAACCUUCCCUCCUCUGGAGGCGCCGUGAGGAAGGCCGGGGGCUGAUCCAGCCUGAGCUGCUGCCCGCACAGACCCCCGCCUCCUCCGCCACGGGGCGGGGGNGGGGGCAGGAAGGGAAGCCCCCUCCUUGCCUUGCUCUGCCCGGGGUCUCAGGCAGGCCCCUGCUGUGUCCCUGGUGCUGCUGUGUUGGUCCCCAAUGGAAUAAAAAGAUGACUGGCAUCCAGGGAAGUCAGCUGCCAUUUGUUCCAGGGUGGUGGCUUGGGAGAGAGGUGAUGACACACUCGUGUGGCAGGUGGCAAGUGGAGGCACCAAAGCCGAAAACAGAUUCUGUGGCCUCAGGGCAGCGCUGGCGUGGCCAGACCCUCGAGGGAGUCUCAGACGUCGGGGGGAUGUGUGCCUCCUGCUCCUUCAUUACCAUGCAACGCAGAGCAACAAACAUUUAUUCACACCCGCCACGUGCCAGACGCCACACCAGGCCUGGGGAUCGACAGCCGGGUCCCCCAGGGAAUACACAGGGAGCAGAGGCAACAGCUUGGGAAGCGCUGGAACAUUCUGGAACACAGUCAAGGCACGGCUUAGUCUGCCUUGGCGGGGGUAGGGUGAAGGUGGCGGGGGGGAUUAGCGGGGAUGAGGUGCUUGUUGGGCUGGCUGAGUUUGCGUAGGGCCAAGGGCCCCUGCCUGUCCCCUGGUCUGCUGGGGAGGAGCAGGGGGUGGGGAGACCUGGCAGUUCCCCAGCCCCCCCGGCCGGGUGAGAGACAGGAAGGCCGCCUGGGGGCCGCCUGGGUGAAUUUGGGUCCUGGCCCAUUUUCAGAAAAUAGCUUGGAAGGAAACAGGUCCUGCUCUUCUCUGUCCCUUUACUGUCAGGUUUCAGACAAAACUGUCGGCCUGGUUUAUUGACCUUUCUGCACGCUUUCUGGAGAUUUAGUAAAACAAGGGGAUUUUGUGGUUUCGUGUUUUCUCUUCACGGGGAAAGACAGCGGAGAGAAAAAAAAAAAACAGGGGGAGUUCCUAUCGUGGCCCAGCGGAAACAGAUCCAACUAGAAACCAUGAGGUUGUGGGUUCGAUUCCUGACCUCGCUCAGUGGGUUACAGAUCUGGCGUGGCUGUGGCUGUGGCUGUGGCAUAGGUCGGCAGCUGCAGCUCUGAUUAGACCCCUAGCCUGGGAACCUCCAUUUGCCAGUGGGUGUGGCCCUAAAAAAAAAAAAGUUUAGGGAAUUCAGUGUGGUGGCGGUGGGGGCCUGUGGGGGUGGCAGAAGCCCACCACCGCCUUCCCCAGCCCCUGUGCGGAAGUAUGCUGAGGGGCUGGGCAUGAGGAAGUGGUCAGCGGCUGCCAUUCAGGGUAGGGGUAGAGUCACGACUCACAUCUGUUCUCAGCCAGGCCUGUGGCCCUCCCCUCAAAGACGCUGAGUCUGAAUAACCUUAGCGUCUUCCUUUUUUUUUUGCUUUUUAGGGCCGAACCCGUGGCAUAUGGAAGUUCCCAGGCUAAAGGUCGAAUGGGAGCUAUAGCCGCUGGCCUGCACAACAGCCACAGCAACCUGUGAUCCAAGCUGCAACUGUGACCUACACCACAGCUCAUGGCAACGCCAGAUCCUUAACCCACUGAUCGAGGCCAGGGAUCCAACCUGCGUCCUCAUGGAUACUAGUCGGGUUCCCGACUGCUGAG